rnacentral:rRNA from 1 species
UACGUAGGGUGCAAGCGUUGUCCGGAAUUAUUGGGCGUAAAGAGCUCGUAGGCGGUCUGUCGCGUCGGCUGUGAAAACCUGGGGCUUAACUCCGGGCUUGCAGCCGAUACGGGCAGACUAGAGUUCGGCAGGGGAGACUGGAAUUCCUGGUGUAGCGGUGAAAUGCGCAGAUAUCAGGAGGAACACCCGUAGCGAAGGCGGCACUCUGGGCCGAUACUGACACUGAGGAGCGAAAGCGUGGGGAGCGAACAGG